CAGUGGAAAAAAUAUUGUGGGACGACAAUUUGAAGAUAGAAAAAAUAAGUUACAUGAUACAUCAAGAGAUUUAAAACAAACGAUGUGAAGGGAUUAUCAGAAUUAUUGGGUGUCGUUGUAGUAGUAAAAGUUUGGGUUAAGGGGAUUUCCCUGUUCCCAGUGACAAGGUAUUUUAAAGGUGUACACUCACAUAGGGGGUGGUAAAUUAUAAUUCAGGAUUUGAACAGAUGUGAUAAAUUAGGUUUGGUUAAUCGAACAAUAAUUAUUUACAAUUCAUUUAAAGUCGCUACGAAUUGGCAGGUUGAGCGCUUGAUGAUGACGUCACUAGCGAGGCACUUUUGUCGUCAGGGACUGGGGAUAACGGAGCAAAUUAUAUGUCUGUUAGUGUGUGUAUUGAUGUUUCGAGUAACUUUUCAGAAGUUGAUAUAAAUUACAAAAUACAUUUUUAACAGUAAUUUGAGAGUUGCCAGGAUAGUCGGGAAAGAUGCUAAAAACGAUCAGCUGAUACCUAGGAAGGCAUCAAGUAUUCUUCAUACCGGGACGGAUGGAAUUUAUCUAAAGGAUGUGAGUUGAAGGAACCAAGUGAAAACGCAUUUACAUUUUUAGUAAAUAUCUGGUAUUAGGAUUCCUUACACUGCGAAAUGUACGACAUUUGCGGCAGAGAGAAAAAGUAAUGCAUUGGAUAAUAAUGUUAUCGGGUUAAUUGUAUCUAAAGGUAGCAUGGCCAUUUAAGCAAACAUAUCCGUAGACGAUGUUCAAAACUUAUGAUUAAUGAUUUGAGUCAAAGGGGAAUUAUCAUUAGGUUUUAGUUAUAGUUCACUUAUUGAGUUUCUGAUUCGAAAUAGCAUUAGGGAAUGAUAGUUAGGGGUGUGGUGGCUCACUUUAGAGGCCUCCUGGGAUUAUAACUUUGGGGAGAGAUAAACUUUAAACAACCUGCAAAUUAUACACAUGGACCAACUGUUAGAACUGUUUGUUUAGUGUAAGGGUAUUUUAAAUAGGCAGGCUCCCAUAUGGAACCUUAUGAGAUGUUUUUUUAUGAGUUUGAAUUAUACAGGUGACUAUUUCUAUUCAAAAGAUAAAGGGUUCUUUAUGCCUAAUAUGGUAUGACCUUUUGACCUUGUCAUGACUGGCUCCCAAGGUCUGAUCAGCCUCGGGGGAGAGUCAUUUGUAUAAGGAAUGGGGUCAUAUUGAGUUACUAGUUUUAAGGUAAAUUCAUUAGAAAUGAAGCAGUUUUGGUAGAGGGUUAGAAUUACUGUUUGAACCGCAAAUGAGAAAGUGGUUCAGGAUUCUGUCUUAUAACAUUAGCUGUGAGGUUUUUUUGAAUGGGCUAUUAGGAAGUCUGUAUUGUAACAGAGAGAAAGUCAUGUUCAUCAUUGAGAAUAAAUAGGGGAAGAUAACAUAUUUUGAGCCAACAGGGCAGGGAAGAAAUUGAGGUAUUUUUGUUUGAUUUUAACACCCGUGUACAGGAGUGUCAAAGAUGGGGACAUUACCUGUGUAAUGGGGGAGGGUGUCCGUAUGGGGAUUACAUGAUAACCAAUUUGGGACAGUUCUGGGACUGGAGAAGAGGAUAUCCUUAUGGCAUAGGGGGAUCCCACAAAGGUGGAUAGGUUUUCCAUGAUAUGGGGGAAACCUGGGAGUACUGUUGAACUUUGUAAAGGUGAUGAAAUCCUACUAACCAUCAAAACUAUUAAGCUCUCUGAUGCAGGCACUUACAUCCCCGGACUACAAAGGACGAGGACAGACAUGAUGGGUGUGUUUUCUAUUAAGGUACUGCCAAGACCAGAGGUAACCGGACACACUCCUCUACCACCACUGGGUUAAAAAUACCAUUCAGGUAAUUAAUGUUAGAGACUAUUCGGCUAUUGAUCAAUUAGGCAUUGAGACUGGUUUUGAUGGUAGGGACAAUUUGUGGUUGUAGAAGAAAGGACUGCAUUAUUUGUAGUCAUGCUAGACCUGUUCUGGCUACACACCCAUUUGCUGUAGGAGAAUGAGAGGGGUGGUUGUGUAUUCUGAGAAGUUGUUACCAGGUUAAGCCCAAUUCAACCCUCUGUUCCUCUUUGAGCCCUGUGUUUCCUGCAGUACCUCGCUAUGUUCGGUAAACAAUGUUGCACGUAUAUUCCUAAUAAUACCAGUCCAGAUGAUAUCUAAGGCGGGCUUGAUGCACUAUCUGCUAAGAUGAGGUCCACGGGGGGGGUGGAGGAGUCUGUUCUCUUGGCCUGGUUUGGUAAGUACACUGAUAUGAUGGUUACUGGAUUUCUGACCCUAAUUCUUGUAUUAUUUGUUAUUGAUGUCAUGUGCUGCUUGCAUCAUACCGUGUUAUUAGAAGUCUGUUACAGAUGUGUUGAAGGCUUCAGGCAUGAUGCCUUUGCUUGAUGCUCCAGUUGGAGAGGCUGAGGUGAAGCAUGCCUUGAGGGAAGGAUAAGACUGACUGAGGAUGACCCAUGUAUGUUUGUUCUCCCUGUCGUGUAGGGUGGCAUGGUGCCCACCUGGUGCUAGAUAAGAAUAGUUGAGAGGACCAGAUGGGUUAUAAGAAUGCUUUGUUCUGCUUUACUCUGUUUUACAGGACCAAAGUUUUAUUCCACACUUUGCAACACAUUAAAUCCAUGUUAUUGUCAGAUAGAAUACUGAGGGUCCCCAAGGAGAGGGCUUGUUAGUGUAGGAAGGAUUUUUAAUAUGGUUAGCAUUUAUUAGAUUAUAAGUUUUUAAAUAGUAUUAUAUUUAACAGGAAUAUAGGACAUCUAUGAGGAGUUAGGAUUAUUGUUAGGAUUAAGGAAUUUGGAGAAAAGCAGCUCAUAGACAUGUUUUUUUCUCUCUAAAAGAGGGUCCAUGGGUUUGGAUGGAGCCAAACAGUGAGACAUGAGUAACAUAGCUAUAGGCAGACAGAGGAGCCCUACCCCGCAACUGCAGAGACCUUGAAGGUUGGAGAGCAGAGAAGUUUUACAAGGGGGGGCAGGACGAGCAAAGAUAACAUAGUGGGUAGAUAGAGUUACUGAGUGGAGACAACAGUGAGAAUUGGACAUGUGGAAAAUGAAAGGGACACUCCUAAAUGGAAUUUCAGACAUAAGGAUAAUUCACUAAAUCUUAUCUAAGUCAUUGUAUAAGAAUAAGGCAAGGUUGUUACCUGGGCAGAGCCAGGUAACAAAAGGGGGAUGGGUAAAUAGUGUUCUAGAAUAGGAUGUGACCUACGGGAUAAUUAACUAAUAAAAAAAAAAAUUGUUAAUUGGUUUGACGAAUAAGAAACUAUUUAUAGCGACAAUGGUUCCCAUUUUUCUAAUCAAGUAAUUGAUCAUAUAGGUCAGAAAUUGGAUAUAAAUAUGAAGAAACGUGGUUCUUAUCACCCCCAAAGCGCUGGCCUUAUCGAGAACAUGAAUCGAUCGGUAAAAGGUCGAUUAAGGAAAACACACCUAAGUACUGGAAUGAACUGGGUAAAAUGCCUGCCCAUAGUGUUAAUGACUAUUAGAAUAACCCCUGAUAGGGAGGGGCUAUCUCCAUUUGAGAAGGUUUUUGGUAGACCCUAUAGAAUGCCCCAAUUAGGGCGAUUGGAGGAAGCAAAUGUAGAAAUAGAAAGCAGUAUGGUGGAACACAUGAGGAGGUUGUUCAUUAAUCAAACACGUAUGUCAAAAGUUUUAUGCCCAGCAGGAGAACUACAGAGGGAGGUGGCACACGAGAUUCAACCAGGAGACUGGAUCUGGGUCCAAUCGCUAAAGAGAAAAAACUGGAAACAGCCUCGGUGGGAGGGACCAUUCCAAGUACUACUGGUGACUGCCUUUGCUGUGAGAAUAGCCGAAAGAGCUACCUGGGUGCAUAUCACACAUUGUAGGAGGGUGAGUCACACUAGCACUAUCGGACGUUCGCAGGAGUUGGAGAGGAACCGUGACCCAUAUGGAACGGGGGUCAAACUCCUUCUGAAGAUUCCCUAUACCUGACCUUUCCCCAGCUGUGAGCGUUCAUAGAAGUGAAGUGAUGGCUUGGCCUCUGGCUGUUGAUAUGUUCUCGGGGAGAGGGUGGGGCUUCACGUGUGCACUGACCGUCCUGAGCUGUUUUAUUGUGGGGGCCAUAUUCCUGAUUCACCAAGAUUCCCCGGAAAGUGCCAAAGAGGAUAAUUUGACUCAUGUGCUAGAUGAGGGAAAUGGGAUGUUACCUAAGAUUCUCAAAAGGUCACUGAAACAAAAUAGUAAGGAAGUGAGGGUGGAAUUGGGCAAGGAUCUCUCAGUAGAAUUUUGUGUAGACCAAUUGGGGUCAUUCACCCCUUGGCAGUCUAGAACCAUGGGACUCUAUGGGAAGUAUUUGUGUAAAUCACCGUGUAAGUCGUGGAGCCAGGUCAUAGCUCACACUGAAAGGGAUGGCUACGUAAACCCAUACACUCAAUUUGGGACUAGGUGGAGUAUAGUAAGGGUUGGCGUUUUGGACUGUGUUCCCGAGCAAAGGAAGUAUUGUAUAAAGGUGCGAACUAACAUUAAGGCGGUCAAUACUCAGGACCUCGGUUAUAGUAUGUGGGCUUCGACCAGUUAAGUUAUAGAGGUGGAGACUGGGUUUGGGGAGUCCAACUUAUGGUUGGAAUGGAUUCAAUAUACGGCCAGAUCAGUGGCUAAAGAAGAAUGUUAUGUCUGUGCGAACGCUAAACCCCAGUUAACAACUAUCCCUAUCCCACUGAACGGAAUUAAUUCCCCUAAGGGAAUGGCAUGUAUGGUAAAGCUGUUCAUGAAAGCAGGAAUGCCAGAUAAUGACAGUUGUAAAAUGGGCCAGUGUCGCCAUCUGGUGGUUGUGCGGGGGAAUGAGUUUGACUGAUUGGACUGGUUAGGAAUGCAUUUUACACUCAUACAACAACAAGACAUGAAGUUAGCCAAACGAGAGAAAAGAGAUGCUCCAUCUGGGUCUUUUUACGACAGAGUAUAUAUUGAUAACAUUGGGGUUCCACGAGGGGUGCCGGAUGAGUUCAAGGCAAGAAAUCAGAUACUAGCAGGAUUAGAGUCAAGUAUUUUUUGGUGGUCUACUCUCAAUAAGAAUGUAGACUGGAUUAAUUAUAUUUAUUGUAAUCAACAGCGCUUUAUCAAUUAUUCCAGAGAUGCGAUUAAAGGGUUUGUAGAACAGACUGAAGCAAUCAGCUGGAAGACCUGACAGAAUAGAAUUGCAUUAGAUAAAAGGAGAAAGUGGGCGUGGUAAUCAGGACCGUGUCUUACAUCCCAGGUGGCACGGCUCCGGACGAAUCAGUGCCCGAAGCCUCAGCUGUUUUGACCACCCUGGCUCACAGGUUGGCAGAAACUCUGGGGUGGAUACUUCUCUGAACUAAAUUGGGUAGACAGUAUUUAUGGAAAAAUGUGCUGUUAUGGGACACUUUAACCGGUGUGACUGUGUUAGUCUUGUACGUACGUGGUUGAUUGCGUGUAUGUAUGAAAGUUAUUGUUUCCAGGACUCUGGAGAGAUCAAUGACACUACAGAUUCCAGAUUCCAGGUUCUGACCCAUGGAGGACUGAAGGCAUGUCUACAGAGGAAGUGGACGAAUCCGGAUCUGUCAUUUGUGGGGAAUUUAUGUUUGAUGAGAAUAGUGUUGAGAUGUAGGGGAAUUGGAUUGUAAUUUGUUUCAAUGAUUAAACUGUUUUUUAAUAAAGAUUGUAAAAAGGAAAAAGAUCCUGAAAGAGGAGUUAUGAUUCUGAUGCAGGUUUAAAAACAGUUGGAGUUAAGGUUAGAAUUGAUUAAUGAAAUGUGGAGAGUUGGAUAAACAUUUAUAAUUGAUUUGUUGAUUAUUUGUCUAUUCAUAUGAUAAUCUGAUAAACCUCUAUAAAAAGAUUAAUUAAGUUCGUUUAUACUUUCAUUUUUUAUGAUUAAAUAAAACUAGAUGUAGAAUUGAAUGUAUAAUAUUUGAUCAAAGGGAGGAUUGAUAGAGGAAAAUAUAGUUUAGAUAAUCAAUUAUGUAUACAUUAAUGAUUAGAACCAUUCAUGCUAAUACUUAUGUUAUGAUUUGAAAAGUAUGGGUUCUUAAUUGUACUGUUACUGAAAAUGUAAGCAGAAAUGAAUUGUGUUUGUGUCUCCUGGGAAAGGGAUAAGAUCGUUUUUCAAACUGAUGAGAAUGUUUUGGUUGGAUUCCAUUAGGGGAGAGGAGUUUAUCCUUUAGGCAGGUUGAAAUGUAGAGUUAACGUGGGAGCGAUGCUGUGGCUUUUCAGACAGAUAAGAAAUGCCUGGGAAAAUGUUCCAUUCCUAAAACAAUGGGUUCUUGUGAGAAUCGGAGAGAGGGGGUGUAACUGAUGACGUCAUUUUAUGUCUUCUUUCUUUAAAAUGUAAUGUUCUUUGUAUUUUGGGGCAGUACUCAUCAAGAAUAAAUGCUGAACUUGUUUUUAA